AGGGAACCGGGCGUGCGGGUGAACUGGCAGGGCGGCUCCGCUCCGCAAGCAGAGAGAGCACCGGGUUGCCGGAGCAGAGAAUCAAGGACUGCUUCAAGGUCAAGCUUCUUGACUAGAAGAUGGGAGUUGUUGCUGUGACUUACUGCUUUGUAGGGAUACAGUGAUGCCUGAGAAAAUCCUGAAAAGACCUGCACGUUCUUCAAAGAAGAAAUUUUUGCUUCCUACACCCUGUUGAGAGAUGGUCUGGUGAUGGAGGAGUGAGCACAGCUGUCUGUCUUAAAGUGGGUCAUGCUAACUUGGAUAGACAUCCUUUAAUGACAAGUUCCUUGGCCUGGCCUGGACUGGUGAUAAGACUUCCCCAGUGUCUCUUUAAGGUUCUGAUACAUCUCACAACGGCUGCAAAUGUAUGGACAUAGACAAGACUGGGGCUUCUGUGUCCUGAGAAUAGACUGGGAAAGGAUUUGCAGAGCAUAUUCAGAUGCCUCCUUAGCUGAGAACAACCAGAAACUUCCUACUUCGGGCAGCUGAGAAGGCUUCUGCAGGGUGAACUUGCCAAUGAACCACCAAACAGGAGGGUGCAUGGCCCUUGAGGCUUCUAGUUGUUUAAAUGUCACCCUUUAUUUGAAACUGAUUCUUGUCAGAUUUUGAAAACAGUUUAUCGGUG